UGAUCUAUAUGGUCCCUUGUAAGUCGAGCCUUUCCAUCAUUCUAUACUACUGUGACGCAGGGAGCUCACAGCAGCUCAGAGGACCUCUUUGGGCAAGGUGGUCAUUGCAUGGCAUCGUGGCUAGCGUGGCGGCUCCAGCAUCAAGGUGAGUAAUCCCAUGGCUGAGCGAGCAGUGAGCACAAAGUCCAGCCCAUUGUUCUAGGCUCUGCCCUCAAGUGCAACUCGCUGGACUCGCUCAGGAAUUCACUGAACUCAACAGAUCCUGUUACCUGGACUGAGGAAGGAAUACAGUCUGCUACUAGCAGGUUACACUGAGAUGGAAGGAGGAACAGGAAGAGGGAAGAUUAACCUUUCACUGGCCACAGUGCAUUGCCUCUUAUUGAGGAGGAUUUGGCAACCCAACCCCCUCCAAUCCAGCCUAUCUGUCUGAAUUGCUGAAAGCAUAAUGCUCCCAUAUGAGAGAUAAGAUACCUGCCUUUGUCCACCCCACAGGACCUCUGGGUCCUGCUCUUCCCAAGGCUCUCCCUGCUGACACCAACAUCACACUCAUUAUGUGCGGAAGCGGACUGAUGCUCUUCAAAUGUUGGUAAGGUGGGGUUUCAAGCAGCUUGGCAUUGCAUUUUAGCCUACAUCAGGGCUAAAUUUGCCCUGCUUCUGAGGACCCAAAGGGAGGAGACAUUGAAAAUUUAUGCUUUGUUAUUGUUCUUUUUACUUACUUUAAACAGGUUUAUUAUCCUUUGACCACUUCCAUACCUCAUGAAUCAAAUCUGCAAGCACUAGAGCUCCACACCACACAGAAUCAUAGAAUCAUAGAACAGUUUGGGUUAGAAGGGACCUUCAGGAUCACCUAGCUCCAACCCCCUGCUAUAGGCGUGGACACCUUCCUCUAGAACAGGUUGCUCAGUCCCAUCCAGCCUGGCCUUGAAUGCUUCCAGGGAGAGGGCAUCCACAACCUCACUGGGCAACCUGUUCCAGUGUCUCAACACCCUCACAGUAAAAAUUUCUUCCUGGUAUCUAGUCUAAAAGAUUAAAGAUGGUUUCAUUUUUGAUUCAUUUUCUAAAUCACAAAUCUUACAAAUUCUGGAGAAAUUCUGUAAACAAAUGGAUUCAUCUCUGAAGUCAUCAGGACAAUGCUAUGCUUAUAUAAUCUGCUACUUGUGGCAAUGGGGUAUAUGGCAUUUUUUAUGGCAAGCAGAGGACAUAUUAUUCAAAUAAAUGUGGGGAAAAUAAAAUGAGCUCAAUAAAAUUGGGAUGCCCCUAGCAAUCAGAGUUUCACUUUAAAAUAGCAAUAAUAAUUGAUGCUCCAUUCUGAUCCCCUGCAAGUGCCGUUAGAAGAUGCAUUUGCAGACUCGGGCUCUCUGCUGCAUUGAGAUGCUUCCUGACCACAGCAGGAUUGGCUCCAGCCCCUGCAGUUGUCCUUCACUUCUAGGGUCCUGGCAAGCCCUGUUCCCAAACAAGUGCCAAAACUGCCCCUGGUCCCCUUUUUGCAACAGGAUUAAGCAUGCAAGAGAUGCAUGCAGGAGGCAGUCGCAUUGUGCUCAGAGUCAGAGGCAAACAGCAAAUGUCAGAAUUCCCUUGUUUUGAGCAAGCAGUGCAUCUGCAGUGGAUGAGAAGUUACCCAGUACUACAUGGGUGGGCUGGAGCAUCUCCCCAGGGCCGUCGCCUCCCCUCUUUGCCUUCCGACCCUGGUGUUCUUAUCCGGAGCAACAGCACGCGCAUUUAUCACACGACUUUAUGAACAGUGAAGGUUUAUUACAUUGCACUUAAACCUCAUUUAACCUUUUCUCUGCAAGCAAUACUUUAAAGUGGUACUGGAGAGUUUGCAAAAUCCUGGUGAGCUGCUUUCCUCAUUCUCAUCCCUAAAAUACUCAGUUGCAAACCCUACAUUUGCUGCACUCAUUUUUCUGCUAUGAGGCAAAAUACUGCAGCAUGGUGAUGAUUUAUGAGAAGAGGUAACUUUAUAUAUGUAUAUUAAAUUUUAAAUAAUAUCUGGCUUGAAGAUGCAUGCAUCUUCGUCUAACAUGAUGGCAGCCACAGCCAUGACAGCCCACACAUGGGUCUGCGGGGGACUCCUCAGGCCCAGAGACCUCCUGUGUGCUAUCAUGCUGCUUGCAGAACUCUUGCAGGGAAGGCUGAGGAGUAGCAACCUGGGAGUGGACAGCAUAGAAGGGUUCCAGGAAGAAGCAAGUUCCCUUAGGAACCAACACAAAUCCCAUCACUUGGGAUACUGAAAGUGAGCAAAGUUCCAACCUAACGACAGCAGUAGCAUCCUUCACAGAUGCAGACUCCAAAGCUAAAUUGUCCGCUUCUGGAUGUGAUUUCAGAGAUUUCCCUCUGUGUCUUGUGUUGGCCCCAACUGUACACAAUAUUUGUGUUGCUUGGGAAUUGAAGAACAUGAGAUCUAGAACACUUCCUGAAGUCAAAGAAAUCUGAAUUCUGACAGAGCAGAAGUCUUCAUUUUUGAUUUCUGCAGAGUCAAAAAAAAUCAGAGUUGCACUGCUGAGUUCACAUGGCUGCUGACUAAGUAUUGGUGCCACCGCAUUGCUGUGUAACGCAGGUAAGGAAAACAAGAUUUUAGUUAGGUUUUGUUUUGAUUACAUUGACUUUUUUUUUCUUUUUUAAUUCUCUGUAUUUUAAUUAGGUUCUGUUUGGGUUACAGAUUUAGAUUAAAUUAUGUCAUUUCACAGACCUAAUAUCUUAAACUGAUACAUUUCCUUCCAAAGCACCUUGAGUGCUUUGCAAACUUUGCGUUAAAUACUGCACUUAGUGAAGGCCACACAAAUGAUGAGGAAAAGAUCUGUUUGCGGGGUCUGCCAGUGCAGCUUCCCAUCAACUUGUGGCUCUCCUUGGAAGGGAAGAUCUUGGUAUCCAAGUUGGAUCUGAGCUUUUGAUGUCUCACACCUGAUGUCCUUUCCACUUUCUUGAAAAUCUUCUCACAUGAAAGCUCAGAAACACAAAGCAUUCUCAACAGAUGGCAAUUAAGAUCCCUGUCCUUGGAAAGUCUGAGCCUCUGCUGGAUGCAACCAUAAAUAAGUACUUUUAUGAAAGUCUUCCAGCGUGGUGUCAAAUAUUAGUGGAGCUUGAUGUUAAUGCUUUUUGUAGCUUGAAGAUGGAGUGGAGGAGUUGUAGAAAUGGCUGUAUUUAAGGGAGCUGGGCCAGGGUGCUGCUUGCUAGGCAACCUGACAAUUAAAUCAAUAAUUUCCCCAGUGGUACUGCUGCACUGGGAUGAGUCUUCCAAAGUCAACUUGGAGGUAAGCAAGAAUGUGCCAUAACAGUGUGUUUUUGAACUGCAGCACAGAGACUUAAUUGAUUUACUCUUUAUUCUUUUCAAAAGACAGCUGAAUGUCAAAGGUCUUUCUUUUGUGAAGUACUGGAAAACCCGUUGUCAAACAACCUCUACUCAUUUAAUAAUUUAUCCCAUUUCGUAAAAGAAAGGCAGCUGACAUGCAGUAAAUCUAGUCCAUGUUUAAAUUACUGCAUUGAACAAUAAUAAGAGGAAUGAAUAAUCUAGUACAUCUAUUUAAAAUUAAACAUAUAUGAAACUGUAUUUCCAAAUGAUCACCAAAGGCUAUAGUUUAAAGGCAGGACAGAAGCCAUGAGCAGAAUGAAAAUACAGAACAGUAGUUUGCAAGUGGCAGUGGAAUUAUUUAUUCUAUUUUUUCUAUACAUAAGGAAUAGAGCUAAAUGAACAAUGUUUAAGCAUGUCAGAAUUUCAUCAAUUUUGCAUGAGUAUUCACAAAUAUCCUGGUGGGGGUAAUUGCUUGCAAAUACAUUUAAACUAAUGAUAUGUUAUAUCCUUCCUUGAUAUAAAACUAUUAAAAGAUACAUUAUUGCAUUUGACAAUGCCAUGAAGCUGGGUCAAAGCUUAAUGACAGAUUUCUGCAUUUGUAAAUUAAGAUACACUCUGCUGGAAGCAAAUAUUUUGUAAAAAUAAAAGCCAUCUACUAUGAAAGUUUGAUCAUUGAUCUAAGGUUGCUUUUUGGUUUCUCCAAGCACUGAGCCUGAAAAACUGGGAAGAAUGGAGAUCUCUUUCCAAAGGGAACUCUGAAAACACAGUGUGAUUUUUCCCUAUGCAACAGGACUAUAUGAGGCUUGUAAAAUAAAUUAUGUGGCUUUGAUGGUACAGUUGGAGACCUGAGGAGUGCAGCCUCUGCCUCAUCUGGAGAUUGCUUGGCUUCUCCUGCAGUAAAAGUUGGGUGUCUUGCCUUAGCUGAAGUUGAAUGUGCUAGGGAGUCUUGCUGGCCUGGGAGGAAAUUCAUGAACUGGUGCAUCAAAACACGGCAAAGAAGCCAUCUGAAAGAAGGCUAAUGUAGGUUUGUUAAGGUCUGGCCACGUCCUCCCUUCCUCUGCACGCAUAAGCUGUUAUUUUGGCUUUCUGCUUAGGCAAGUUUGCAAUCAACACGGCUCUGUGCUGGUGAGCAAUUUCAGUUGUUCACUGAAGAGGAGAAUAAAUCCAAAAUGCUCUAGGAACUAAGACAUCUGCAAGAUGCAGCCAGGCAGUCUGCAGUGGGCAGCGGCUCUGGGGAAUAGUGGUGGUUGCAGCCCAUGGCUCUGUGUGGUUUGUGCUGGUGAGCACCCGUUUGGGAAGCUUCACAUCCACCCUUGCUGCCAUCACUGCGGCUCUCUGUCCUCUGCCAUGCAGCAGUCCUGAAACAUCCCUUCCCACCACCUCUUGUGCUCCCUUUCAUUCUUUGUACUGCUCCAAUUUCCAACAUCACUGAGGAUUAUUAUAACCUCCCUUCGUAACGUACUAUAAAUUUUAUUAUAAAGCACAAAUUCUUUGGCUCCCCAUCCCCAUCUCGCAGGGAGACAGCAUGCCGUAGUUCUUACGCUGGCAGUAAUGUGAGCAGAGAGCUAAUGAAGGUCUUUAUGUAAAUUUUCCAGUUAUCAGGUAAAAUCUUCACAUUGAAAUCUGUCACAUGUUAUAAAAAUUCUUUAUGUUAUCAAAUGCUAAUGAUAACUCAGAACACAGAGCCCAUGGAGGAUCUUUGAAAUCCUUCAUAAAAACUGCAUUCGGCCCCGGUAACCAGAGCCUUGAAUUUCUACGCUGACUACUCCAGUUUGUAAUUAGCAUAGUGCAAGCUUCUCUGCCCUCUGAAACCAUAAUGUUAAUUAAAAAAAUUACACUGUGUUUAAAAGUGCAAUUAAGGGACCGCAUAGCACAAAAGGAGCUGGGGAACCUCUUCUUGCACUUUGAAGCCAGGUCACAAUGCAGCCCAUGAAAGGGAGCUCAAGGCUUACUCCCCGCUAAAGGCUUGGGGAGAUCACAGGGAGAGCUCCAUAGAACAAGCUCCACUGGGCUCAGAGGUGUCUUUCAUGGUAGUGCUCCUCCCUGGGAGGGAAAACAGCCAAAAGGAGGGGGGAAAUAAAAUUGAACUAAUUAGGGACCCAUUCCUUCAGUGGCGGUUGCAUCUGUCUGGGGCAACUGCUGCCGUGGUGCUUAGAGGCAGAAUCUGAGAGUGAUGGGACAAGGGGGAAAGAUUUUAAACUAAAAGAGGGGAGACUGAGGUUGGAUGUGAGAGGGAAAUUCUUAACUCAGAGUGCGGUGCACUCUGCGGCCACCCUGGCGCAGGCUGACCAAAGAAGCUAUGGAUGUCCGAUCUCUGGAGAUGCUCAAGGACAGGUUGGAUGAGGCCUAGGCAGCCUGAUCUGGUGGGGGCCCACCAGCCCACUGCUGGUUCCUUCCAACCCAAGCCAUUCUGGGAGUUUGUGAUCAGGCCAUCAAAGGCAGCUGUGAAAUUGUGGCUACGACCAGCCUGUUCCUUAUAUUUGUGUGGCAGCUGGAAAAAAAAAAUAAACAAAAAUCAUGUUCCUCUAUGUCAUUCCUUUACUGAGGAACUUGGAAAAAGUAGAUAACUCUGCUGCUCCAUGUCCUUUGGCAAUGGCUUGCUGAUCCUCUGUGGGCUGCACUAAGUGCUCCCUUGGUUUGGGUGCCCAAGCACGGCCCUGGUGCAGGUGCCCCUGCGCCAUGCAUGGCGAUAUCACCUUGGGGAAAAUGCAACUCAUGGAGUGGUGGAGAGGCAGAGGGAGGGUCGAGCAAUGGAAGGCUGUGUGUUGCAUGGGAGGCCUGGGGAAACAAUCACAGAAAGUAUGUUCAGAUAUACAUUUAAUGCUAUAUAUAUUUAACACUGUUUAAUAUAAUGAACUAUGUGGUUUCCCUCCACCAAAGUCCUUCCAGGCGACCUGCACAAGGUGUUAAUUGAUUAAUUAAAGCCCAGAGCACCCCUCAGUGGUGGAUGCCCACACACCAGCUGCCCAUCCUUCCCUGCAGGCCCCCAGCACUGCUUCUGUCCCCAUGCCUGUGGUGUUCUGGGGGAGAUAAUGCAAGCUGUGCUCUAUCACAUCUCUUUGGUCUUCCCUUGAGGUUUUUUUUUUUAUUUUUUUUUCCUGGUAGCUUUUCCAUAUUGCCCUAUGUGAAAACUUCAAUAACUGCUUGAUAAAUCAUUGCCCUGACCUUUUCUAGGAAAAACACAUGCUGCUGCGGGCGAGGCCAGGAGCGUGCGUGGUGGGGGCGUAGGGGGAGCCGUGAGAUGUGCUGAGAAACUCUGGAGCAGCCUUGGGUUUGUGUUAUAUACGUGCUUGGGAAAAAAUCCGCUUUCCUUCUCUCUGCCUUCUACCUGCCCAACUGGUUAUAGACCCAGACAGUUUACAUAUGUGAUCCUUCCUAUUUAGAAAAUUAAUGGUGCUUUCUGGCUCCAAAUCACAGCUUGUGGUACUCUGCGGGUGAUGAAAAACUUGGCCAGCUUCAGCAGCAAAUCAGCCAUUAGAAAAUUAACCCUUAGUGGCAAAAGAGCAAAGGUACCCUGGUGAGGUCCCAUGCCAAGUGGCAGACGGUAGCUUUCUAGUGUACCUACAUAUGUCAGCCAUGUACAACCGGUGCAGGUGGUCCCCCAAGAGAGGGACCAACAGCGCAUUUGGAGCUGGAUGCUGUGGAAAGGGCACGGCCGCAGUGCUUGGCAGCGAGACCCACCAAUAUGCCAUGGUUCUCACUGAGGUGUGAGGGAAGUGCUGAGUGGGGAGGGUGGGUCGGAACCAUCUCCUGAACCUGUGCUGGCUGUGCCUCCACCUGCCCAGCAGUGGGACCCGUACAGCUGUAUCAUCUGCAGAUAUCAGUGGUGCAGGGAGUGAAAGCAGGGGUUGCACCAAACCCCCAUAGAAAAGGAACCGGGUUUCACCGUGGGCUUUUGGGGGGUUGAGGGAUAGUGUUCAAGGUCACAGAGGGCUUGACCCCAAGCAAUGAAUUCUGUGAGUGCUCAUUACUGCAACAUCUCCUUGGAGUAGCCCUGGCAUGGGGCAAGCAGAGGCAGUACCGCAGUGCUGCAGGUGCUGCUUGUCCUCUGGAGUUGCUGGGGGUUCUGGCAGGGGUUCUGCAGCUCACUGACUUAAGAUAAUACAUUUCCCCCCCACUCUUAAAACAGAUCAGUGCUAGGAGAGCCUGUGGCUGCAACUGCCUCACCAGUAGCAGACCGUGAGUUGGCGGGACAGACAGCUUGCUGCGGGCAGAGGCACUGACUCAUGCUGGGCACGCUCCUGCUGCAGCACUGGGACAGGGCUAUCUGCAGGCUCUUGGCUCCAGAACCCACAGACCCAUCUCUUUCACAGCUUCAUUCAAUCCUACAUGUUCCUUCAUCCCUCCAGCCUGCACAGAACAUGGGAGGGGGACAGCAGAGAGUCAGUCACUCCUUGCCAGUUUACUUUGACAAAAAUAUGCUAAAAUAAAGGCUAACUCAAUAGCGGAGGAUGCAUUUCCAGUUAGUGUCUGUUAACGCUACGAAUCAGAUCAAUAACUUAUAGCAGAGAAGUCAGUGAGCUCAUCUAGGUAACUCUGGAUCAGCCUCCCAGCAGGCAGCCCACGUCUCGCGCUCAGCCCACGCUGGGUGUCCGCGCAUCGCAAUGUCCCAGCGCCUCAGGCAGAGCCCCACUUUUCCUCUCUUUUCCAUGCAAAACCAUGUGCCAUGGCAGCAGCUGGUGCUAAUGUACAAAAUUAAUUGCCCCGCUGAGAUGUUCCUUCCAAAAAAAAAAAAAAAAAAAAAAAAAGUAAUAAUAGUCAGGAUUCAGCCUCCCGAACGUAAAACCCUCUGGUGCACUAAUAAAAUGAAAAGGUUUCACAAAAUAAUAUCCCAAAUAAUUGGGUUCUCUCUACCAAAGGACCUCAUGUUGUUUCUCUUAAGCAAUGUGGAAAAAAAAAAAAAAAAAGAAAGAAAGAAAGAAAGAAAAAGAAAAGUGAUUAUUCCUUUGGACAUAAUAAAGCAUAAUUGGGAAAAAAUCUUUAAAGAAAGCAGAAGGUGAUCACUUUCACUUUCCCAAAGAAAUGGACGUCGUUCUGCUGUCCUCCUCCAGAAAGGAAGAAGUCUUAAUGCCUUUGCAUCAUUCUAGAGGAGGAAAACGAGGAGAGCAUUUGCUCUCCAUCUCUUUACAACUGAGGCGCGCCGUUUGUUGGCGGUGCUGACAGCCCCCCUUGCAGCGCGGCUGGGUCCGAAGGACCGCCUGGCUUGGCGUGGGGGAAUUCAUAUUUUUGCUCCGUUAAAUGAUGAUUUGGGUUUUCUUCCUGGUCCCGACGGUGCUUUUCGGUUCCUCUGCCCACUCGAAGUUCGGAGCAGCGCUGCCCGCGCAUCCCGCGCUCCCGCCUCCGCUCUCCGAAUCUGCGCGCUCCUACGGCGUCGCAUUCAUAAUCAAAUGAGCGCACUGUGAAUAGGUGAAAAAAGCCGAUACCCCAUCGCUGCCACCGGGGCUGUCCUACCCCCUCCGCAAAGCCCCUCCGCCCCUGCUUUUCUCUCCCACGUGAGACGCGAAGACGCGCGGACGGCGAUCUCCACCUCGCUUCGCAGCAGCCCCAGCCUAUCCAUUUGU